CGGGGUGAGUAACGCGUGGGUAACCUGCCUUGUACUGGGGGACAACAGUUAGAAAUGACUGCUAAUACCGCAUAAGCGCACAGUAUCGCAUGAUACAGUGUGAAAAACUCCGGUGGUACAAGAUGGACCCGCGUCUGAUUAGCUAGUUGGUAAGGUAACAGCUUACCAAGGCGACGAUCAGUAGCCGACCUGAGAGGGUGACCGGCCACAUUGGGACUGAGACACGGCCCAA
rnacentral:rRNA from 1 species